rnacentral:lncRNA from 1 species
UGUGUCAGUCUCUUCUAAGGCCCGCCUGCCUCAGUUUUGGAAGAGCGCAUGCGUUAUUCUGAGACGCCUAAAUUUAGUUUGGGGGCGGGGCUAGAGGAUUGAGUGGCGUGUGUCAGUGAUGGGUGGCUCUGCUCCACACCAGUUUGCGGUAUCGUGCAGCAUGCAGCGCUGCACCUGGUGCCCUCCGGACCUUGCAACACAGUUUUGUGUGCGCUUAUGUUCUCCCCCCAAGCGGUGUGGAACUUUCAGCCAACACUGCGCUUGAAGCCUGGCGACUGUCACUCGGAAAAUUGGACCUUCAUUUCCAGGUUAGACCUGUUUUUCGUCCAUAUAGCCAAAUAAGCUGUUACUGUUUGGGCCUUUCGGUGGAGGAACAUGAAGGAGACCCAUCCUCCCUGCAGACUAAAGAUACAUUUCAUUUGAAGGACAAGGGGUAGAUGUACUUCACACUCUGAUUGGUUCAAAAGAUCAAAAGACAGGGUCUCACUAUGUAUCCCAGGCUGGCUUCGAACAUGGGAUCUUCCUACUUUAGUCUCCUGCGUGCUGGGAUUACAGGUAUGCCUCACUACCACACUCAGCUGCAUCCCUCUUUGUGAGAGCAACUUUCUUGCCCAGCUCCACAAAAUUGAGCUCAUGUCUUUGUGAGAUCACCACCUUACUGGUCACUGAGUAAGCUUUCAAAGAUUUGUUGGCUUGAUUUAAAUACUGGAAGACAUUUUCUGCUGAAUCCCAAGCCAGGGGCAUCAGAGCUGGAGUUUUCUCUUUAUAGUUGUUAACGUGAAUUUUGAUGGCAUGAAAAAAAAAACAAAAAACCUCGUUCUCCCAAUUAUAUUUAGCUCAUACAAACUCUACUGCACAAUUAUGUUGUAAAGGAGAAUUAGGUUUUAUCUUUAAGUUGUUAUUAUAGCUUUGGGAAAGGGUGAGCAUGAAGAAUAACUACACAAAGUCAUAGCACAUUCUAUAUUCUAUUCAUUUUGCUACAGUAUAGGACCUAGAACAGACUGACACAUGUGGUAGGUGUAUCAGACAGGGUCUGUAUAAGAAACAGAUGGCAC